GGUUUCUGCUUAUUUGAGGCCUUCCAAAGGUAAUUGGCUGCAGAAGCAAUCACAGUUCUUGUAAUACAAAACAGCAAAAUGCUGCGUAAGCCUUGGUGAGAGGAAUGUGAGACAGCACUCUGUAGCAAACCCCAUUAUGGAUCUUGGGAUGGUUUUGGAUGCUGUGCCAAGGCAGAACCCACCUUCAACAAACGUGGCGUAAGAAGCAGACAGCAGUUUUUCUUGAAGCCAAAGGCGAUGAUGGCUGUGAACACGCCAUAGGCCAUGUCAGCACAUAUGGAUGAGGCAACAAGAGAGUUAAAUCCACGCGAAUGAAAAUGAAAGCGAUGCACACCUGACUGGGGGCUGUCCUUAUCCAGCCACAGGCAGAAGGCAAGCCAAGAAGAGAGGAAAGGACGUGGCAACAAGAGAGUUAAAUCCACGCCUUCCAGUUAAGAAAUCUGCAGACACUUGCUCUGAAGCUCUGAUGCUCUCCCCAUGCCAUGGUGCCCACCGCGUUCUCCAGGCGCCGCUCUGGGCUCGGCAGUUCUCAGCCGCUGCCUCCUUUAUUACCGCGCUGCAGACGCCCCACGGCCUCGUGUGAUGCUUCCCACCUGCUGCACGCAAUGGUUCAGCACUGAAGCACACAGCAACACCAAUGAGAUCCUUCCUAGACUCGUAACUCCCAGCAGGACGGGUUUCCUCUUACGGCUGCAGGAUUGUUUCCGUGCUGUAAGCGGCGCAGCUGAAGGAGAGGCAAUGAAUGGCGGUGCUGUGAAAUCCACUCCACUUGUCUGUUAGCUUGCUGUCUCCGUUUCCUCGUCGCAGGUAAACUGGGAUCUUCAGAGCUUACCACAGAGGUAUUUAGAGACUGCAAAUGGGGACACGUUAAAUCAGCCACACCUGUGCUUCUUUUGGGUUAUUUGAUUGUUUCCUGCAGCUUGGGGAGCAUCUUCCCACCACACAGAACCCUCAGCAGUGGUCUGGAUGAGCUUAAGCUUUCUUUACAGCCUUCUCUACAUAUAUGGGGCAGUGAUUUCCACCUAUCCAGCCAUGAGGUCCCUGCAGCAAACAGAAGCAUUGUGGGAGGAUGCAUUUGUUCAUGGCUUGUUCUGGGUCACUUGUCUGUCUUGUCUCUACCAGUGUGCCAUCCUGGAAUUACCUGCACUACGUGACUGCAGAAAUGCCUACUGUAGCACUGGUCAUGCUACUCCGAGUAUUUUCGGAGAGGUUUUGGCUGUGCCAUUGUGCCUUGAAUACAGCCCUGGCCCAGAACAAGGGUUUUAGGCACAGUGCCAUCACAAAAUGAGCAUCUUCUGAGAUGCAGUGGCUACACAGUACAAAGCCGUGUACUGGAGCUGCAGCCAAGUCAUCGUUUGCCCUCCUCUGGUCCUCUGAAGUCCAACACCACCAGUUUCAGAGGGCCACAGCAGGGAACAUCUCCCUCUAUAAAUCCAAUGGAAGAUGACACCUGUGAACUCAGCUGAGCUGUGUGCCUGGUGAGUGGCAGAAGAAGACACCCACAGUCAUUGACUUCCUGCCAGCGGUGUCCUUCAGUGGGGAAAAGCUGAUGGUUCACACACUAUGCUGAAGGGACACCUGUUGGUUUUCUUCCCUGCUGUCUAUCGGGGUGCAUCGGGAUUUCCUCCAAGUGCAGCAACAGCAGCUCACAGAGAGCCAAUGGGAAGGUGGUGGUUGGGAUCUGCUUCUUCAACAAGGAGUGUUGUGGUUUGUUCUUUGUUUUCUUUGUUAACAUCCUCAAAAGGGCAACCAAGAGCUAGGAGUUGUAUUUUGUUCUGCUGAAGUAAAUGCAUUUAUGCUCUGUGA